UUAACAGUCUGAAUCCAAAAGAUAUCAUCAACAGUGACAUUGUCAUUGAUGUCAGUGUGGUCAGGACAGUAACACUGGCGGCUUAUUCACAGAGGAUUCUGAGUUCUCACCCUGAAGAACAUUCUCAUAUCUGGAAGUCUGAAACUCUUCCAGGCUUUCCUUACACUGAAUGCCCACCUAGUCAACUUUUAAGGUAACAACUGUGGGACACAUUUGAUGGCAUCUGCUUAGAACAAAGUGACCUCCUUUCUCUGAGGACUGCACCCAGUUGUUACAUUGGUACUCCUUGUCUCUAGCCAACCUGCCUCUGUCCAUCAGACCAGAAUUGGAUAACAAAUCAUAGCCAAACAACAGAGACUCUAUCCAAGAAUUUGAAAGUGGGACUCAGAGCUUGGCAUCCUGAAUGGAAAAGACAAAAAAUUAAAAGCUAACGAGAAGCUAUAUUCUACUUGACUUGCCUUAUGCAAUAAGCCAAAAAAACUAGUCUGAGAGAGAAUGAAGAAAAAAGAUGGUGAGAAGAGAUAGAAAAGUUGAUUUCUGGUUUCUUUUUAUCUUUUAGCAUCUUAUUCUUUCACAUCCUGUUGCUUCAUUUUUGUUCUCAAUUUGUGUGGAGCAUCUUUUUAUUUUACAUAAAAUCUCUCUUUUUUUUUUAAUUAGGUAGCGUUUGCUGGUACCUGUGGCUUUUAAUCAAAGCAUCUUAACUAGAACAUGAUCAAUAUGUGUCUCCUCCAUUUUGAGAAACUCAAAUUGUCUUUCCAAAGACAGUUAGGUUUUUAUAUUAACUGACUUGACAAUUGCAAAUGAGCACAACAUCUGGAGCCAGCCUGGGUUGGAAUCCUUUUCAUACCACUUAUCAAUCCUGAGUCAUUGGGCAAGUUAUUUGACUUUUCCAUGCCUUAUUAAGGUCAUUCAUAAAAUAAUGAUAAUAGUACUUACUUCAUAGAGUUAAGAGAAUUUAAACAGACAAUAUUCAUAAGGCACUUAAACAGUGCUUAUUUAGUUUGAUAAAACAUAAAUGUUUGGUAAAUAGGAAAUGUAGUUUUAGAAACUAAUUCACAGGGAGAAAAAAAGA
rnacentral:lncRNA from 1 species